AGCCUCCUGUAUCCGUGCUGAGAUUUCUUCACACACCAGACCACAAGGGCUGAUGAGACGUCCAAGAUGAGUGAAGCA
rfam:Schistosoma margrebowiei strain Zambia genome assembly, scaffold: SMRZ_contig0000350